GGAUCAAUAACAAUCAUCAAAACACAGCAAAGCAAGAUCAGAGCAGACUUCAUAAUUCUUUACUCAGUUAAACUUUAAAAACUUAUUAAAAUAGAAUA